UAGCGCAUCUGUGGUGGCGUGUGUCUCCGUGUGUAACGAGGCAGCGUGUCUCCCAUCUCACCUUUGUUUCCGUCUUUAGGCUUGCGCCACCUUUUCAUCGGCUUUUGUGUGCUUUACGUUUUUCUGUGCAUCCUAGCGGCAGUGCUGUCGCCCUCUUCCUCGCGAGGUAGUACCGCGUGGCAGUCACCGUUCUUCAUCUUUGUGUUGUUGCUCUCUCUUGCUGCUAGCUACACGCGCGUCCCUCUCUUCGUUGCAUUUGAACUGCACCCUCACAGCAGAGGACCGCCCCUCUCUCUCUCUCUCCCUCCCCCACCACCUUCUUCCAUACCGUCGUGUGAGGGGAUGCAGCUGUGCAGUGGCACCGUGAGCGUGCACUGCCGCGAGGAUGUCUGCCAAGAUGGCGAGUCCGUGCAGUUCAUGGCGGUCAACACCAGCGGCACCAUUUUGGCGGUGCUCACGCAGCUCCGUAUCCAGUUCUGGAGUGCGGGGCCGAAGGUGGUCUAUCUGACCUCACUCGCGGUGCCUGACACCUCACUCGAGGAUAAUCCGGCCAUGUAUGUGCUGUGGCGUCAAAGACCGGGUAACCACCUCGCCGUCGUUACCGCUCGCCAUGUUGCUUUUUUCGAGGCCGACAUCAACCUUAGGACGCCCGAUUUCCUCCAGGCGAUCGAGAGAAAUCGACACGCAGUGUAUCUGCAGCACGUCGACUCGGCGUCGCGCGUGUGCUACUCGAGCGGCGUGCCGCUUGUUACGGGACUCGCCACAUCCGCCGCCGCCGCCGGCCCCUACGCCUUCCUGGUGACAACCACGGCGGGUGUCGUCUACGUACUGGGGUGGCACCAGCAAGACAUCCUCCAUCAGUGGACCACUGUUGGGCUGCAGGGAGGCGGCCACACCUUUCGGUGUGCCACAAAAGACGAAGCGUGCGACCUCAUGACUGCAGCAGGCUGCGUUGACGCGCUCGCCGCACCGGACAAGGCCCCGGCCAACUCGUCCCUGUCAUCACCGGCAAUGAGAUUGCCCAUGCCGUUGACGUCGCCAAAGUCGCGCGUGGACCCCCUGCAGCGGUGGUGCCGGCAAGACCUACGGGUAUCCUUCACGGACGCUGUCGGCGACUCCACGACGAGCAAAGCUGCGGCGGCGUCAGCACCCGCUGGCGUUCAGCCACCGGGCACCGCCGUACGAGCCCAUGCGACGCAGCUCCACUCGAACGACACCACCACGGCCUCGCCGCCGCUGCCAGACGGCGAGGCGACGAACACCGCGGUGCCACCCGAGAAGGACAAGGAUACAGGAAAGCCGGCUGCCGAUGCGCGCAGCAUCUGUGCCAGUGCCACCAUGGACACAAGACCUCAGAAGCCGUGGCAGCCAAGCCCCUUGCUGCCUUCCUCUUCGCACACUGACUGCGCCGCCGCCCGCAGCAGCGCCGGGGCGGAGCUGUUGGCAGGCACCAUCCUGCACGCCUCCUUCGCCUCUCGCAUGAAGGUGCUAAGCUUCGUCUUCACUAGCGGUAGCGUGCUGCUGUGCCGACCCUCCUGCGGCACGAACUUCACGCACCAGAAGGUUCAGCUGCAGGGUUUCGUGACACCAAUCGUGUCUGCGUGCAUGGUGGCCAUCAACGUGCGCCACCUCCUGUUGGCGGUGUGCACCCAGGCGGGUGCGCUCUCGUGCCGGCGCAUUGAUAGCACGUCCUUGGCGGUGCAUCCGAGCCCUCUGUGGAAGGGCCUUCGCGGUGUCAGCGAUGCCGUCUCCAAGUAUUCUUGUGGUGUCCCGCCCGCCUCGCAGUCGCUUGGCUUGAUUGCCGGGAUGGAGUGGUCGCCGUCUGAGGAGCUGCUUUGUGUGGCCUUUUACAAGCACGGCAUCGCCCUCGUGCACUACAGUGGCGGUGUCGUUGCCCGCCAUCUGUCGGGGCCCGCUAGCGCCACUCUCCUGCGCACUCCUCCAGUGCCUGCGAAAGACGCUCAGCGGCCCCCUGAUGAUGAGGCGGCUGUGAUAGACGAGAACGCGCAGCCGUCAUCGCUGCGCAACGAGCAGAAAAAGGAGGCAGCGCUUGGCUGCUCUGCCGUUUCGUGGAAGCCGGACGGAACGCGGCUGUGGAUGGCAGCCCCUCGCCAGCCAUGCUUCUUCUCGACACAACUGUCUCGUGUGCUGACCGUGGACACGGUGGGACCUACCAGCGGCAACCACACUCCGCUUGCCUUGCUCGCUGACAACGCUCUUUACCUGGUCUCCGUGUCAGAGGCACCCGCUGCUCAGGGCGUGCGUGAGAUGGUGCUGCUACCGGACGACUAUCUGCGCGACCAGUACCCACUCUUGCACGGUGCUGUGUCGAGCGACGGGAGCUGGAUGACCUGCGCUGGCCGCCGCGGCCUCGUCCUCUUCAACCGGGAGCGCUACUCGUGGAAGCUGGCCUCGAAGGAGGAGGAGGAGUCGUUCAGCUGCGUAGCGGACCCCGUAUGGCUGCGCGACGUCGCCGUGGCGGUCCCGGCACUUCGGACCGACUCGAAAACCUUUGAGCUGAUUGUCUUUUCUACUUCGAGCGUGUCACCGUCGCGCGCCUCGGCACGCGUGGCACUCGAUGGCAGACCGACUCAGCUUUCCUGCCUUCACCAGGAUUACAGAGGGGAGGGCUACGUGGUGGUCGUGGACUGUAACCAGAUGGUGCGCAUCUUCCGCUACGACGUCUUCACGGACAUUGCCACAGAAGGGUCUUCAGCGACGCCGUACGUUGCCCUCACACCGGUGCAGCAACUGACUCUCCCCAACGAGCUCUCGAACCCUCUUAAAGUCAUUCCGGUGUGCCUGCAUGGCGACGAGGAUGACCGCGAGUCGCCGCAGCGCACUCAAGACCACAUGGGGCUGCGCCUGCUGCUGCACAAACGCAGCGACCACACCCUCGUCUGGGUCCGAGGGGAGCGAUGCGCGGCUGGCGAUGCUGGCUGCGGCUGCGCUUCUUCAACUGGCAGCUUGCCUUCUCUCAACGCCGUCGCGGAGCCGGUGGGCUUGACGAACAGGUGCUUUGUGUUUCGGUGCUGGGUGGACCGCACAGCACCAACACGUGGGGCGGUGCUGCUGGCUCACGAAGAGGAGCAAGGGCUCGUGAUGUACCAGCUGCAGCUGUCCGGGCUCCGCUCAAGUGCGACGGUGGCCCCUGUUGCUCACCGCAUGGAGGUGGCGGCGACGCGGGACUCGGAGCUGCUGCCGCUCUGCCCUUCCCCAUUUGACGGGUACAUGCUCUGCGUCGCGACGGACAUGUCGGCGCCGCGACCGAGCCGUCGACACAGCGACGCCGGCGUGAUUGGUGGCGUAAGCCAAGCCAGCCCGCGGCCGCAACUAGCGCUGCGCCCCAUCCUGUACGCUCACCGCAUCUUGUCGCUGCUACUGCUGGCGGCGAUGCCGAGCAGCCCGGUGCCGCAUCGAGUUUCCAAUGCACAGGAGGCCAGCGCGUCUUCUCCCAGCCUCAUAUCAUUGGCAUCACCCAGGUUAGAGGGGUGUGCUACCGCUCCUGCAGUGAACGCAUCCGCGACCUCAUCAUGCCGCGCUGCCGAGGUCGACGGCCGUGUUGCCACCUUCAUGUGGGACCGCAACUUGUUCUACUGGCUGGAACACAUGCGGCUGAACGACACCUUCGCGGCGGUGCUUGACUACUUUCUUCACACGGCGCUCAACGAGUCGCCUCCGGCGGCAGUUCCAGGACUGGGCCGAUACAGCGCCGUGCGGGCCGCCAUCUCUCUCCUCCGCAACUACCCCGAGUUUUACGCGAUCGUGGUGGGGUGUGUGCGCAAGAUCGACUUUACGCGCUGGCACCUUGUGAUGGACUUCCUUGGAACGCCGACGGACCUGUUCCACGAGUGCGUCGCCCAUCAUUGCUACGCGGAGGCUGUGCAUCUGGUUCGGGUGAUCAUGAUGGGGACCUACAAGCCAGCGGCGACGCUAUCUGUCGAUCGCGUGGCCGAGUUGGGCAGCGGCGGCCGCUCCGGAAGCGACGUUACACGCCUGCAGCAGGCCAGCCAGUGUGCCGUGGAGCUCUUCGUCCUGUCUGUGGAAAACGGAAGUUACACCGCGGCCUACGAUAUCAUGCGCUUCAUGGCACUUCUGGAGGAGGAGAUUGGCAUGCCGGCUGCUGGCGGCCUCGACCUUCACGGCGGCAGUGGCGGCGGCGCAGACGGGUCAGCGGACUCCUCUGGCAACUUCUUGACUUGGUGGCUUCGGCAGCUCACAUUCAGCGGUUCUGCGCGCUACGAUGCAGAGGCAGCCGUGGAGGAGCCGUCUGGAAAGAAGAAAGCCUCAACCGGCUCAUCGAGUGGCGACGCCACGAAGACUCACUCGGUCGAGGGGUUUCCUGCCCUGGUGUUCGACAUCACCCGCUGCGACCCUGUGCAGAGCGGGCGCACGGCCGAGGAGGCCGCCGAGGAGACGCAGCGCCAGGCCGCCGUGCAUCACAUGUUUCGGCGGCACGGUGCGCUGCCUGACGCGGUGCAUCGGGAAGCGCUGCGGCUGCUGCGCACCGGGUACGUGACACAGCUAGCCAAGCUUAUGAAUACCUUUUCCUUCUCGGUCCCGGAGUUCCUGCAGGCUGUGCGCCCUGUCCUCGUCGCGGCUGCUGCGGCUGACAGCAACGAUCCUGCGGAUGGAGGGAUCGGGUGCGACCGCGUCACGGCGUGUCUGCACGACAUCUUUGACGGCCUUCACAAAGAGCUCGGCUUGCCUCGCAGUUUUGCGGCAAACGUGGGACCGACAGCGAGCACGACGUGGAAUGCAUGGCUGGUGGAGAAGCAGACGGCACAGGCUGCCGCGCUGCCUGGCGUGCUGAGUAGCACGAACCCGAAGGUGUGGACGGUGGCUCAGUCCGCGCUGUACGCCUCGCCAAGUCUUCUCAGCUCCGUAGAGUCGCUGCACCAGCUCUUCGCCCCCGUAUUUGUUGACAAUUUGGCCUUUUGUGUGCUGCUGAUGCGCAAGUCGGACCUCAUUUCACUGCUUCUGUCACAGGAAGCGCCAGCACAUGCAUCCGCGGGGAAGCCGGAACAGGUCUCGACAGAUUCCGGGGCGCGAAGCGGCGUUUCUCCAGCGAAGCUCAUUGACGUUCUCGGACAGCUCGACUCGCUCUUGGCAGUGCCAGAGAACGCAGGGUACAGGCCUUUUCUGCACGACAUCUUCACCUCACUGCCGCCCUCCGUCUUGCAAGCCAUUGCGCCACCAGUAGCCUCUCCUGCUAGUGUUGUCGCCGCCGCCUCCUCUGAAGCUGAUGCAACCUCGACCAGCGCGGCGGAGUAGCGCCGGUGCGCGUUUUUUUUGUCGCGCGCUCCUCCUGACCCCCGCCCCUACCCCGCAUCCGCCACCCCACACGCACGCACGCUUGCAUUUGUGACCUCUCGCACCCAUCUGGUGUUGCGUCCGUCUCCCCUUCAUCAUCGUCUGUUCACGGUGCUAGCGACUGCCCUGCGAGCGGCUGUAGUUGAGGAGAUGCACGGAUCUACUCGGUUAUGUGGGCGUCUGUGUGCCCCCCUUGUUUCCCCACACUUUUCCGAAAGAAAAAAAAACGAAGGUAACGAAGCGGAAGCCUUUAGAGCCCUUUCUGCUCGCCGCCGGGUAAGUUGGCAACACGCCAGGGGUGUCGAUGGGGGCCUCGCGCAUUCAUGCCCACACCCCAUACUUCCCCUUUUUGUGUCUUGAUAAUCAAACGCGCGUGUGAGGGGCGGUGCCCCGCAUUCCUCGCGUUACGUUCCUGUGCACCCGACCUCUUCUCCGCUGCUUUCUCUCCUCUCCCUUCCUCCCCUCACCCUGCACCGCAGGGCGCGCUUUCAUGUGCAGCGUUGGAGCUCUGCGACGGAGACCAUUUCUCGCUCCCCCAUCGCCGCUUCGCUACUGUAGCAUACCUCUCAUGCCUUUCUUUUCUGCUUUCGAUCCACCCUUCCUCACUCUUCUCUCUCCCACGCUUCUCUCUGGCGGACCUUCAG
rnacentral:misc_RNA from 1 species